rnacentral:rRNA from 1 species
AUGGCGACCACCUGCACGGUCCUCACCGGCGCCGUGCGUGCCGUGAAGCUGCUCAAGGUCGACAGUUUCCGCCUGGCGUACAAGACCAUGCGCGAAGGUGAGUUCCUCAGAACCAGCUGGAACGUCGACGGCCACGACGUCGAAAUCCGGUGGUACCCUGGGACAGCGAUGGCACCGGUCGAGCUCGUGUUCCUCACCAAAACUGCAAGCACCUGCAACGUGAGGGCGAGCUUUGGCUGUCUCCUGGUACACCCGAGGCUGCCGCAGCCGCACAAUGGCAACGAAGAAAAGACCGUGUGGCAUGUGUUCAAGCAUCCCAAGGACUGUUCGCUUCGAGUCUCGCUUGUGGACCAGACUUCACGCCAAGGAGACUACUUGACCGUCCAGUGCACCGUCACGAUUCUGAAGGAGCUCGCUUAUACGACAACGACGGUGCCUGCGCCGGCAUCCAACAUGCACCAGCACUUCCGGGAGCUCCUGCGGAACGGGACGGGAGCAGACGUCACGUUCCUCGUCUCCGGCAAGGCCUUCGCCGCGCACAAGCUCGUGCUGGCCGCGAGAUCCCCGGUCUUCAUGGCCGAGUUCUUCGGGGACAUGAAGGAGAAGAGCUCCCGGCGCGUGGAGAUCAAGGACAUGGAGGCAACCGUGUUCGGGGCGCUGCUGGAGUUUAUCUACACCGACAAUGUUCCUGAACUUCCUUCGCAAAAAAAAAAAAAUGUUCCUGAACUUGACCGGGAGCUGGAGGCCGUGGCGACGAUGGCUCAGCAUCUGCUUGCGGCGGCUGACAGGUACGGGAUUGACAGGCUCAAAAUUAUGUGCGAGGGCAAGCUCAUCGGUGGCAUCACUGUCGACACGGCGGCGACUACUUUGGCUUUGGCAGAGCAGCACAAUUGCCCGCACCUCAAGGAGAAGUGUGUCGAGUUUAUCAUCAGUACUCCUGCGAUCCUUGACGCCGUGGUGGCGACGGAGGGGUCUAAGCAUCUGGAGGCAAGCUGCCCUUCUGCGCUCACUAGCAUUGUCCUGUCUACGCGUGGGAGAAGGAACUGA